rnacentral:snoRNA from 11 species
GAACCAACUGGAGUUUGCAGAAGCACAUUGCAGAAAUCCAGCCUUGAGGUUACCAGUACAUGCACUACCAUCUUAAGGUUC